rnacentral:rRNA from 1 species
UGGGGAAUUUUGGACAAUGGGGGCAACCCUGAUCCAGCAAUGCCGCGUGUGUGAAGAAGGCCUUCGGGUUGUAAAGCACUUUUGUCCGGAAAGAAAACGCCGUGGUUAAUACCCGUGGCGGAUGACGGUACCGGAAGAAUAAGCACCGGCUAACUACGUGCCAGCAGCCGCGGUAAUACGUAGGGUGCAAGCGUUAAUCGGAAUUACUGGGCGUAAAGCGUGCGCAGGCGGUCCGCUAAGACAGAUGUGAAAUCCCCGGGCUUAACCUGGGAACUGCAUUUGUGACUGGCGGGCUAGAGUAUGGCAGAGGGGGGUAGAAUUCCACGUGUAGCAGUGAAAUGCGUAGAGAUGUGGAGGAAUACCGAUGGCGAAGGCAGCCCCCUGGGCCAAUACUGACGCUCAUGCACGAAAGCGUGGGGGAGCAAACAGGAUUAGAUACCCUGGUAGUCCACGCCCUAAACGAUGUCAACUAGUUGUCGGGUCUUCAUUGACUUGGUAACGUAGCUAACGCGUGAAGUUGACCGCCUGGGGAGUACGGUCGCAAGAUUAAAACUCAAAGGAAUUGACGGGGUCAUAGCUGUUUCCUG